GUGCAGUUGGUAAAAAGUUUUGGAACCACCGUCCUACGCAUACUCUGCUUUAUUGGACUCUUAAUGCACAGUAAUUUACCAAAUAAACAGACUUUAUUGCAGAAGACCUGACAUAUACUAUAUAAUAAAGUGAUGGAUUAAUAAAUUGUGAAUCACUAUAAUUGGAAUUUGCCGCCUUGGAUUCAUUGAUGGAUCAUUGAUUACAACCAGUCAACGCAAAUCUACUUCUUAAUGGUUUCUUAUAACUGAUCUUCAGGGCAUUAGAAAAUAAUUGAUUUACCUUCCAUAAAACCCUUAGAUUUAUACAUGACAUCACUAUAAGCCUUUGUAAAGGGUGCCUUGUUGGAAAGCAUUGCAGAUGCAUAAUCACUGUUAUGUGCUCUGCCAAAGUCUGGAGUCUGCUGGUGAAACCAUUAUAACUGAAUCCCACCCAAACAAUGACGGAUCAUUCUAUCAAAGAAGUGUCCAUCUUUCUAACCAUGCGUCUGGAACAAACCGCUAUGGCGACGUUAGCUGCAGGCGUCGGGGAAACGCUGGGACGCCCUCAGAGACACAAAGUCACUGCAGUCGCACCAAAAGCUGCACAUAAAGGACGGACAGCGAAGAGGCAGUUCUGUGCUACGGACAGCGUUUACACUAAGGGGCCUCCCUGCUGCUCCAUCCGUCUUCCACUUACCCAAACACCUGGAGGGAGGGGAGGAGGGAGGGAGGGAGGGGGGCGACCAGCCGGCCCCAUGUGAGGGGUUGCUUGCAUGCAGUCAACACGAUCACCGUAACUGGGGCAAGUCUGCCGGCUGUGUAAUGCGCACGCACACACACACACACACAUCUACGGUUACAUGCCGUGUUAAAUGUGCCACCUUAAGAUCCGCCAUAGUUUGUCUGCCUCGCCUGCACAGUGGGAGGAGUUUCCAAUGCAACAGGUAGUUUGGUCGUAAGAGGGUCCCGCUCACGAUGAUCGACCGCACACACCAAGUGAACUGUAGAAGGCCCGGCACGUAAAGCACGUCUCACACGGCGACGCCGAUGACGGAUAGCAGGGCGGACAAGUCCAAACGCUGUGCUGCCGAGUGACAGGCGUCUCCUGCCGAGGGGCACACAGCCGCUACGGGGAUGCUCUUUGUUAAUGGGGGAGGAGGGGGGCACUUAGUUGCUGUUUAUGAACCUUUGAUGUUCGCAGGCUUGAAUUUGAUUCAAGGCGGUCGUCAUUCGCCUCCUUUUUCUCAGAAGCUCUAAGCCCUUCAAAAAAGAGCCAACCCGAAUUCGUGGCAGGAGGCUGAACAGGCCGCUCUUUAUUAAUAGCAGCCGCGGUAUGAGCGCUUUAGACGUGUUUACGUUGAACUGAGCAAGACUGUGGCUCAACCGAGGCCUCGCGUAGUCUCAUGAUUGAGGGGAGGGGAGGAGGGUGGGG
ensembl:lncRNA